AAUCCAUCUCACCCUUUUGUGCACCACCGCGUGGACACCCUUGGGAUCGAGUGGAUCCAGGAGGGGGCUUGAGUUUUCACACGGACUGUUUUUAAAAUGUGUUAACCCCAAGCAGUGUGCGAUGACACGCAAUCAAUACAACCUUCCACAACGCAUCUCUCGGCUCUCGCAUCGAUGAAGAACGCAGGGAAAUGCGAUACGUAAUGUGAAUUCCAGAAUUCAGUGAAUCAUCGAAUCUUUGAACGCACCUUGCGCCCCUUGGUAUUCCGAGGGGCACACCCGUUUGAGUGUCGUGAAAAUCUCAACCUUCUCGGUUUUAUUCUGGAUGCCGAACGAGGUUUGGAUUUUGGAGGCUUUUGCUGGCAUCUCUCUCUUUUCGAGAGCCAGCUCCUCUUAAACGAAUUAGCGGGGUCCUCUUUGCCGAUCCUCGACAUGUGAUAAGAUGUUUCCAUGACUUGGUUUCAGGGUCUGUUGCCUUUCGCCCCCUUCUACCCGUCUCUUCCUUCAAAUUGUGCGCUCUGUCAUCUCA
rnacentral:sRNA from 1 species